rnacentral:lncRNA from 1 species
AAAAAAGCCGUCUCCAUGGAAGCGGCCCUUCCGCUCGGAGCCCGGCGGCCUGGAGGGAGACCCGGCGGGGAUGCGAGGAUUCCGCCCCAGCCCCAGAGGACGCGGCGGAGAGCCUGGAGGAGGCGCUUUGAGAGUCGAGGUCUCCCGCCCGCGCGCCUCCCUGGCGCAGACCUCUUUUAACUUUUUGGCGUGGAGUGCGCGUCCUGACGUGCCCCCUGAGCUACAGCUUACUGAGCUUUACUGGCUUCGCCGGACAGCCGUCCCCAGGUGGAGAGACAGCGCGUCGCGCGCUGCCCGGGCCCCGCAGGGCCUGGCGCCUGGGGCCCUUGCGCCGCUUUGGGGCGAGGGGAUCACACCGCGGGCUCCCGGAGCUUAGCGUCUUCCACGCGGCGCUGUGUGUCAUCCACGCAGUGUGCUCUCGCUGCCGUGUUCAGGUCACUGCGAGGGUGAGCCCCGCUUUAUCUACCCCUUCUGCUGUUGAUGGGCACUCGUCUGGGGCUAGAAGGGAUAAGGUUGCUGUGAGCGUUCUCGUGUGUUUUUGGUGCACGCGCACACACAUUUCUCUGGGGUGCAGACCUGUCUAGUAGUGGAACUGCCGUUUCCCAGCACUUUGGAGCAAAGCCCUGUUGCAGUCUGAAGCGGAAAAGGCAGACGGGCCUUCCAUGUUCGUGAUUCCAGCCAGGCACAGAAGGGAAGGACAGGGACAGCAGCCGCGCGGAGGCGAGGAGGGACACUGGGCGCUGCUGUCCCCUCUCAGGGGCAGCCACUCCUCUUGUGGACGCAGGUGUGGUCACCAGAAGGGAAGGACAGCAGAGGACUCUUCAGGGACCUUCCUGGAUCCCCCUGCAAUGGGAGUGGCCUACUUGCUUGACUUGAGGGUGAGACUUGGUCAGCCCUUGACUGUAGGGGGCAGGACCAUGGGCUUCAGUGGGGCAGCACCCAUGACCCACGCCUCUGCUUCCAUUCCCUGCUUACUGCCCGGGCCUCUGGGCAGGGGAGUCUAGUCUCCCUUCCCAGGCUUCCAAUGCCUCGCCCCCUGCUGUGGUAAGGAUUCGCGCUGGUCCCUAUUUAUUAAUCAGGGAACUUGGGGUUCCAGUUUUCUCCCCUUCUCUGCAUCUCAUCCCCUUGAGAGCCCCCUGGAGCAGAGGAUAACGCACGAGGGGACUGGCUGUGUAUAUUUUGAUAACAAUAUCAAAAUACUGUCAAAUACUAAACGGAAAAGAAAUAGGAAAACAUUGAACUUUAUUAAAAUGAACUUCAAAAGACACCAUUAAGAGUAAAAAGAUGACUCACAAAAAAGUUGCCUUUUGUUCAGUAAACGACUCAGGACCAGAAAAUAUGAAGACCCCUACAACAAGAAAAAUAUAGAUAGCUCAGUUAAAAAUUGACAAAAGACUUGAAAAGAUAUUUCACAAAAGGAGAGAUCCAGACAGUCAAUCCACACACGAAAGGGUACUUAGCAUCAGGGAACUGCAAAUAGUGACAUUCGAUUCCAUAUCACAGCCACUGGAUGGCUAAAAUAGCAACGCCAAGUGCUGAUGAGACUGUGGAACAACCAGCUGGGCUCUCAUACCCUGCUGAUGGGAGAGUGGAUUGGAGCAACCACGUGGAAACAUCUAAUGGAGGUAAGCAAACGCCUGCCAUAGGAACCAGCGUGUAUAUCCAAGGGAACCGAGUGCUAGGUUCCUGAUCAUGGUCAAGAUCGCCUACAGCAAAUUUACUUAUUUAUUUUAAUCCCCCAACAAAUGUCUUUAAUGUCUUUAGAAAGAUUAAUUAAAUGGUAGUAUUUUAAGAAUGCAAUGGUAUACUGCACAGCAACAAAAAAAUAACAAACUGCUAAUACUUGCAGCAACAUGGAUAAAUCUCAAAGUAUUGAAUGCAAAGCUACAAUAGAGUGCAUAACUAAGGAUUCCAUUAUAUAAAAUACAAAAUCCAGGCAAGACUGAUCUACAGUGUUAGAGGUCAGGAGAGAAUUUUGGAGGUAGUUGCUUGGGCACCGGGAUACUGCGUGGGGAGCUGUGAGUGCUGCAUAUCUUUAGCUGCGUCCUGCUUGGAGUGCAUACUCUGUGAAAAUUCAUCAACCUGUGCACUUAAGACUUGUGUACUUACAUUAUCUUUCAGGAAAAAGAAAAGAAAAGUAUGCCAAACUUUACCCUUCACCUUUCUUCUCAAAAUGGUCAGGUUUCAGAGCUGUGGUAGAAACUUCUAGUACUGACAACAGCCAGUACCUCCCCGCUUGGCAGCUGAGACUAUGGGACCAGUUCUGGCCAAUGGAAUGUGAGGGGAAAUGACGGAUGUCAAUUCCAGGCUGAAGCUUUUAGUUGCCAGAGCCAGGUCCUCCAGUCCUACCUUUCCACUGUGGCAGUCCCUCUGAAGUCCCAAGAUCAAGAGCUGACAGCUGAAUCCUUGCAUGGAGAGUCGCCUGGACCUGCAGUGGACUCUGGAUGAGGGAGUAUACACCCCUCUCCUGAGAUGGCAAACAGGAGGUCUGGAUCAAUCCUACAGUGUCGGCAAAUGUCUGGAUUACCCUGCAAGGAAAGGGAGGCAUGACAGCUCCACAUCUGUGUUCACCCUUGUGGAUCCCAGGUGAGACUCCAGAUGAAAUGGGAGAGUUCUCUGACCCCCUCACAGGACAUGUGACAGGAGUGUGGCUAGUCUGUUCAGCCUCCACCACUGCUGAAACACCUUAUGGGAGGGGGAGCAUGCAGAUGGGCAAGCGCAGGUGCCAGGGCCAGCGCUUUUGGGCUUCAACCCCAUGGUGGCAUCUAGGGGUGUGUGUCUGUGACUCCUGAAGCCCCAGUGUGUGUGCUCCAGUGCUCUUUUAGCUCUGCUGUCUGUCAGGCCUCUGAGCCCAAGCUAAGCCAUCAGAUCCCCUGUGACCUGCACGUAUACAUCCAGACGGCCUGAAGCAACUGAAGAACCACAAAAGAAGUGAAAAUAGCCAGUUCCUGCCUUAACUGAUGACAAUCCACCAUUGUGAUUUGUUCCUGCCCCACCCUAACUGAUCAAUUGGCCUUGUGACAUUCCUUCUCCUGGGCAACGAGUCUCAUGAUCUCCCCACCCUGCACCUUGUGAGCCCCGUCCCUGCCCACAAGAGAUAACCACCUUUAACUGUAAUUUUCCACUACCUACCCAAAUCAUAUAAAACUGUCCCACCCCUAUCUCCCUUUGCUGAC